CAGAGGGUGCGAGCGUUAAUCGGAAUUACUGGGCGUAAAGCGUGCGUAGACGGUUAUUUAAGUCGGAUGUGAAAGCCCCGGGCUCAACCUGGGAAUUGCAUUCGAGACUGAACAGCUAGGGUGCGGUAGAGGGAAGCGGAAUUUCCGGUGUAGCGGUGAAAUGCGUAGAUAUCGGAAGGAACAUCAGUGGCGAAAGCGGCUUCCUGGACCAGCACCGACGUUCAGGCACGAAAGCGUGGGGAGCAAACAGGAUUAGAUACCCUGGUAGUCCACGCCAUAAACGAUGAGGACUAGACGUUGGAGGGGUAAGCCUUUCAGUGUCGUAGCUAACGCGCUAAGUCCUCCGCCCGGGGAGUACGGCCGCAAGGUUG
rnacentral:rRNA from 1 species